rnacentral:tRNA from 1 species
UGGGGUGUAGCUCAAUGGUAAAGCACUUGCCUAGUAAAUAAAUGUGUGAGUCCCUGGGUUCAAUCCUCAGCACCACAA